UACGAAGGGUGCUAGCGUUGUUCGGAAUCACUGGGCGUAAAGCGCGCGUAGGCGGCCGAUCAAGUCAGGGGUGAAAUGCCACGGCUCAACCGUGGAACUGCCUUUGAAACUGAUUGGCUGGAAGAUGAGAGGGGAUAGCGGAAUUUCUGGUGUAGAGGUGAAAUUCGUAGAUACCAGAAGGAACACCGGUGGCGAAGGCGGCUAUCUGGUCUGUAACUGACGCUGAGGCGCGAAAGCGUGGGGAGCAACAGGG
rnacentral:rRNA from 1 species